UACGUAGGGUGCGAGCGUUGUCCGGAAUUAUUGGGCGUAAAGAGCGUGUAGGCGGCCCGGUAAGUCCGCUGUGAAAGUCGGGGGCUCAACCCUCGGAUGCCGGUGGAUACUGUCGGGCUCGAGUACGGAAGAGGCGAGUGGAAUUCCUGGUGUAGCGGUGAAAUGCGCAGAUAUCAGGAGGAACACCUAUUGCGAAGGCAGCUCGCUGGGACGUUACUGACGCUGAGACGCGAAAGCGUGGGGAGCAAACAGG
rnacentral:rRNA from 1 species